UACAGUACUAGCACAAUGGAGUCUUCAACUGGCUGACUCCCUUAGAUGUGCUGCGAGUAAACGAUAAAAACUGGAUGCAUGCUGUCCUUCACUUAUCAAGGACUAGGGCAUGGGUUAAGUCUGAACAAUCUAGGAAUCUGAAAAGCAAAUAAAAACAAGAGUAUUUGCAUAUGGAAUAGGGAGAGCUUGUACCCUCCUCCUCCUUCAGGUACGUGUACACAAGAACUGGCUAAUUUACCGCUCUUGUAGAUGUAGGCAUACUAGCUUCAAGCAAGCAAGCAUGUUAAUAAUAUCAGUGCAGCCACAGUGGCACAAGUGGCAUGAUGGGCUAGCUGCCCUGACUACAGUCCUGUCUGAGACCCUAUGUAUGUACCUGGGUGGCUAGUUCCAGCACCACAGCAGCACGCUAGUUUGAUUGAAGCUAAUGCAUGUACAUCUGCCCAAGCUCCAAUGCAGACAUACCCUCUAUGGGAGUGUAAUUCCCAGCAAGAACCAGCCUUCCCCUAAUCUAAGGUACCUGACAAGCCAAACGAUACUGUGGCAUGUACCAAUUCUACCUCAAAAGGCAAAACUAAGGUAAAAUUUGGCUUUUGCACAAUGCAUUUGUAUUCAUUUUGGAUUUUUUAUCUGAAAUUAGGAUCAGAAUAAAUGAAUAAUAUCUUUCCCCCACAACAGCCAGCCAAAAGCUAGGUGAAGGUUAUGCCUAGUAGGUUUUGCAGGACUGAGCCAAUCCUCCUACUCAGUAAACCUGCUUUCUUCCCCAUCCCCCUACCCCAAGAAAUUCACAAGGAACUUUGCACCAUUCCCAAGUUCUGCCUGGUGGCUGGAGACUUCUCCAAACCAUUUAUGUUUGUUAGUGAUUGUAGCUUUGACAGGCUCACAACUAAGAAAUAACCAAACACCUUAUGGAGGAACAUCUCCUGGUAUCCUCAUCAGUGCAUCAAUCCCACAUCAGUGCUUCAAUGUACCAUCCUCCCUUUUUAUGUUACAGCCUACAAUCUCACUUCCUCCAGCAUUUGGCCAAUCAAGUGGAAGAUUACCAUAAUUCCUGGUGACCACAGGGGCAGGCUAAAUUGUUGGUUGGGGUCAUUUUACGUGACCACUGCAAGCAAAAUUUAGUUCAGUGCCACUAGAAACCUGUCAUGAUAUGAGGAACUGUCAUCACUGAAGAAACUUCAGCCACCAUUUAAUUUGAACUUCAGGUUCGUUGUGGAACACAUAGCCUUGAAAUACUGUAGACUUCCCUCCAGUGUAAGAAUGGAUUUCAGCCCUGAAACCUAAUGUAGAACAACUGAAUAAUUCAAAUAGAUGUUUAAUCCAGGGUCUCUUUUGAGUAAACAAGAAGCAGUGUAAUUGCUUUGUGAUGGGAAUAUUGACAACUGACCCUGCCUAGAAUGUAUAUAAUUACACUUUUUUAUGUACUCUUUAGAAAUACAGUGCAUUCAAGCAGAAAUGCUCCUAGUGGAGAACUGUUAUAAUAAGUUGGUGCACCAAAGAUUCCCAGAGUAGCACAGCAUGAAUGAAUGAUUAUUAGCCACUGCAUUUUAGCCUCCUCCACCAUGAAAUCUACUAUUUUUAGAAUUUGUGAGGAACCAACUUUGUGUCUGUUGAAAGUCUCAUAUAAACUCUGAGGCCUUGGUGAGUGCUUUACAGGAACGUACUUUAGAAGUUCAGUUUCUUUAGUUCUAUAGGUGAUACCCACUUAUUGAUCCUGAAAAUGAACACUAAAGAAACAAAUUGAUUCUUUUGAAGUAAGCAAAUCAUUAAAUAUUUGACUUUGAGAUCUUUAGAAUAGUUUCAAAGGAGUUGACUUGGCAGAAAACAGUAUGUUUUAUAUUGCUCUUAAUCCCUCCCACUAGUAGAAUUAGUGUAACACUGAUCUCAUUCUCACAGGAGAAUAUUACUAAAUAUUUUUCUAGUAUUACGAUGCUUCAUGUCUGGCUUUUCUUUGAUACAUUUUCCCAGAAAUGUCUGUCUAACUUAAACAGUAUUAACCAGGGGUUUCCUUUCUUUGGAUCCAAUUCUGAUCUCCUCAUUCACCCCACAUCAAUAGUGCCUUACUCCACAUGAGAUUUCAUGUUUCAUGUCUGAAACAGCCUUGGUCCUAUCAGCUUUAAUGGCAUUCUGUUUAAUGGCAGAAAUAUACUCUGCAGUGUUUGAGCUGCUUCAUAGCAAUUAAGGAACAAAUUAUCUAUCUGCUGAAAUCUAUUUCAGAAGCAUAUACAAGCACUUAACUUUAUAAUACAGCAUUUUAUAUUGCAUGCCAUUUAAAUACAAUUCUGUUGUUGGAUUGUUAAGAGAAUGAGCAUACAGCCAUAUGGGCUGUAUUGCUGUGGUUUUAUGUAGAGUGUGGGUGCAUGUGUCUUUGUAAAGCAUCGUGCACACUUAUGGUAUUAAUAUGCAAAUGGAAAUAAUAAUUAAUAGCGCCCAGGGUAAUUGCCUUUGGGUCCGUUAACAUUCCAGUGGACAUUUCCCAAGACUGUUUUCCAGUGUACUUGUUUAAUGUCCAUUUACAGGAUCAAUCAUUGUGUAUACCCUUAUAGACAAAAAUGGUUUCUUUCCCAUCAGCUGAUAGCUUCCAAUGGUCCUGGGGUAUGCUAUGAAAAGAAGAAAGAUGAGGGGGAAAAAGGCCCAGGAGGCCCAGAUCUUCAAAGGUAUUUAGAGGCUUAACUCUCACUGACUUAAGUGGGAGUUAGGCACCUAAAUACCUUUGUGCAUCUGGGCCAGAAUGAUUUGUCCAAAGUCACAUAAGUCAAUGAGAAAACUGUAAACAGAACUGAACCCAGGAGUCCCGACUCCAAAUCUACUAUGCUUUCCUUUAUUAUGCUUAAAUAUACAGUGCUCCUGUAAUCAAACUAUAUUUUUCUUAAGAGUUGUGACAAUGCUGGACAACAGCAGUUGAUCCACCAAUAUGAUCACUGAAGCUUCAAUUAGUCAUCCCACUGACACUUGAAAAUGGGGACUGUGCCAAUUUGGUAGAUUGAGGAUAGGCUGGAGAGUGUUAAAAGCUACUUACCUCAUUAACUCAGAAGGUAUGAAUUCACAGGAAGGGCAUGCAAAGGGGAGAGAAAGAAAAUGAAAGAGCUGUAGGCUGGUAGAACCAAGGCUACAGGCUCUCCCUUGCUGGGUUCAGAAGCCUUAGAGCCACAACAUCCUGUUAAAGCUGAUGCACAAUCUGUAAAGGUAGUAGGAAUGAACUUUGUAAGUAUUGCAUUGGAUGUUCUACCUGAAGAAAGUUUCUGAAUUUCUUGUCUGGAAAGAGGCAGGAGCAGAGCACGCUCCUGCCACAUGUAGGGGUCUGUUGGAGAUUUAUUAGUUAGCAUGAGGUUGGCAGCCUAGACAGUGAAGGAGACCCUGCAGUGGCUGGUAAAACAGCAAGAAGAGCUGCAGAAGACUCUGCAAAGCUUCUAACUGGCUCAUCACCUGGAGAGGCAAGUGUUGACUGCCUAGCAGAUGGUGCAACAAAAGAGCCUGCAGAACUUCAUCAGAAAACAAGCCCAUGUGCAGCAGCAGCUAUUGCAGAAAGUGGUGAGUCCUGUGGCAGGGAAUGGCAAUUGACCUCAGCCCUGGGGCUCUGUAAAAUGGGUCUGGCAGAAGACGCUAAUGUAUUCCAGGACACCUUUGAGAGGGUGGCCCUGGGUGCAGGCUGUGAUGGGAAACCUGGGCCCUAAGGCUGGCCCCAUAGUUAUCCAGAGAAGCUUAAGUAGCCUGUAUGGCCUGGAAUGAUGAGCUGUCCAGAAACUAUGAGGGGUCAAGGUGGCCAUCCUAGAUCGUACUGAGAAGUACCACCAAAAAUUCUGAGGUGGACAGGGAAGGGGGGUGGUGAGGUGCUGGGCUUUCAACUUUUGGGUGGAAAGUGGCUGAGAUCAGAUACCCAAAUGGUGCAGAAGAUCAUGGACACUCUGCUUUUGGAGCAGUUCCUCCAAAGCCUUGCCAAGAUUAUAUGGGUGUGGGUUAAUGGCGUCAACCCAUCACUCUGAAUACAGUGGUAAAAUUGACAGAGAAGUUCAGACGCAGACCUCCCCAUGAAAGAGAGCUGACCCCAGAGAGGACUGGGACUAGGGAGAAGCUUGGGGAGCAUAAAGCUGCCAAGGGCAUGGAGAAGAAGAAGGAAGAGCCCGGAGAAGCCCUGGCUGGGCCUUGACCCAUGACAUGUUUUCAGUGUGAGUGUCAAGGAAGGAUGAAAAAGACUGCCUGUAGAGGGACCGUGUUUUUUCUGAGUUUUGUGGCUGGGUUGGGACUGAAGAAAAGAGCAAAGGAAAUAAAUUGUCCACCCUUCCUGUAAUGGUGGGAAGAAACACCAGAGUGGCCUGGUGGACAUGGCUUCCAUUUGCUCCCUGAUCUGGAGGGAGUUGAUGAGCCACUGGCUGGUUCAAGGGGCAAGCACGAGAAUAGUGUCCCUGGGGAUAAAGUGCUGGCCUAUGGCAGAAGUACCCUUGGAAGUCUGAGGGAGGUUUACAUGGAAGCAAGCUGGGGUAGUGGACAGCUUACUCUACUCUGUUGUGUUGGGGAAUUGAUUGGAGCUCCUUCCCAUUAGGAAAACCUGGUGGUGUUUUACCUGGAGGUCUCUGAGAAGUUUUUCUGGAAAAGACAGGAGCAGGCUGAUAUCUUGUCACAACAGGACUCCAAACAUUUUGUCAAACAUGGUCAUUUUGAAGGUGUUUAUGCUUUCAUAAUUGAAGACACUUCUCCCUUUGUCUGAAGCUAUCAUAAAACAAGAAAAUCUAUAAUUAGAUUUUUCACAUUGUUCAGUGUGGAAAAAAUGAGACUAUUUGAAUUAAAAACAAACUUGAAAGCAGUUACUUUAUACUUUGCAAGCACAUUUCAGAGUCAACUGCAACUCAAACUCUUAAGAAACAAGAAGAUGACUCUGCAUAUGUAAAAAAGAGCCAUUACCUCACAGUGCAAAAAUCUCCACUGCCAGCAAAUAUUUUUUGUAGACUGUUUAAACAAGAGAGACUCAAGUACUGAUGCAUGAUUGUGAUUCCUACCCGGAGUAGGUCAUUCCUUCUGCUUAACAAGUUUGGAUGUUGUCCAGAAGCAAAAUGUAAUUUAUUCAAAUAAAUUAAAAGUGGAAAUAUUGCAAUGAAAUUAUACCAAUAGUAAGGGUGUUGUCAAAGUUCCCAGAUUUCAAUCAAUUGCUACACCAUAGUUAAUAUAUUCAAUCUUCCUCCUGCUGAAUAUAAAAGUUAGAUUUAAUCAUCAUUUUCUCCCUUGUUAUAACCACAGCUCUGUUAGGGCCCAAUGUAAGGCCCAUGGAAGUCAAAGGGUAAACUCCUGUUGAUUUAAUUUUGGAUGAGACUGUUAAUAUUAAAAAUAAUGGACACAUCUGCAGUUUCUUCUCAUUCAAUAAUGAAGAUUCACCUAGAUGUCACUUUUCAGACCCUAAAUUGCAUUAAUUUCUAAAAAAUGAUUCUGGGAAUUAUAACCUUGAUUCACUGAAGCACUCGUACACAUGCUUAACUUCAAGCAUCUUGGCUUCAGUGAGACUUCUUUCAGAUUUGCUGAACUGGGGUUUGAGGGUGUCUAAAAAAAUUUGGUGGUUUUGUGUAUUAGCAGCUAAAUAUAUAAAUGCUUAAAAUCAAAAUGCACUAGCAACUAAAAGUUAAUAAAAAACAAACUGUUAACAGUUGGAAAGAUCACUGCAGUGGUCGGGAGUAAUCAAAAAACUAUUUUUUUACAGGGGGCAAAAAUUUUCCAAACCACAGUCUGUCAUGCACUUUCUCAAGAGGCAGUAACAAUAUAGUCAUGAAUUUCUAAGAGAUGAUUUAAUUUCACUGUUAUUUACAACUUAACCCCAAAGCCCAGCCUCUUCCUAUUAUUUGUGGUUAAAUAUAGAAACAGAUUCUUUCCCAUUCCUUUUUCUCUAAGAAUUUUUUGCUGCCUACACAAAGUGCAUGAGUCAGAAACCAUAAGAAUGAGUGGUUCCCAGCUGGCUAGGCCAAUCGUUGGCAGUCAUGUUGCCUCUGUUGAUUAUGUUCGUGCUUCUCAAGGUCACCUCAAACAUCAAGAGGUGAAAUAAUGUCUGUCUGGAAAGGGGAAAAAAAUAGAGGGGGGGGAUUAUGCCCGAAUUUCAGAAAGUAAUAGUAGGAAACAAAAAAAAUAGGGAGAAUGAGGUCUGUACCCCACAUAAGGUAUUUUAGGAACAUAUAUGCAAAUAAAUACGUGAUAGAUACACUUUUUUAACUGCUCAUUUUCCAAUUCUUAAAUUAAUUCACUUUACUGCAUCUGUGCUCUUCUUUGUGUUUGCUUCUUUGAGUGUUCUAGCAAAUGAACUUGUAUACCAAACUCUUUCACCAGCCCCUUGCUUUGCCAAAGGGAUGUGAAUUUCAACUCACAUAUGAAGACAUCAGUCGAAGUUCAGAGCACAGAAGGCAAAGAAUCACAGGCCCCAAGUCUGCAAAGAAAGGGAAACUGGAUGUGUAUGCUUAACCUUCUGAUAUGCACUUUGAGAUUAAAAAUGGCUUUUUAAAAAAAGGUGGGAGGGUUUUGUAGUGAUUAACUGUAGAAUACUGGGUUUCUGGUUUGAAAGUAAUGGCUGCAGAACAUCUCUGGUGGAAAUCCCAUGACCAGACUGACUUUCUCAGCUACAAAUUCAUUCUCUCCUCCUUCAUUUCUGCUAUCUCCUCCACUUUUCUGUGAGGGUUCCAUAGAGUUCUGUCCUUGAUCCUCUUCUCUUCUCCCACUAUACUUUAUCUUUGGGUAAUCUUGUCCACUACCAACUCUAUCUAACUCUGGAUUCCACACCUGACUCCUGUCCAAACAAAAAUCUCAUCCUGUCUGACAUCUCCUCAGGCCAUCUAGCUAUCAGCUCAAGCUCAACAUGACUAAAACAGAAUUCUUAUGCUUAUCCUCCCUAUUACCAUCUUUCUUGAUUAUUGUGGACAACACCACCAUCCUGCCUGUCACUCAGGCCCCUAACCUUGGUGUCCUCUUCAACUCUCUCUAGGUUCUCAAAUCCAUGCCCUCUAAAUCUUGCAAAUUCUUUCUGCAUAACGUCUCUAAGAUAUGGCCUUUCCUAUCCAUCCACACAGCUAACUCUCAUCAAAAUAGGCACUGAGUUUUUAUUUUCCCUGGGGGUGCUCCACCCCUGCUCUCUCCCAAGGCCUUGCCCCUACUCCACCUCUUCCCCUAAAGCCCCAUCCUCACACCACCUCUUCCGCCCCUGGUCUGCCCCACUCCCCAAAGCCCUUGCCUGCUUGCUGUUCUCUUUCCUCCUUCAAGCCCCUCCCCUAGCCACCACUACUAGGGGGUGCUGCCAAACAGCUGAAUGUGGGUUCUGUCAAGCAGCUGUGGCUGGUGGGUGCUGAACACCCACUAUUUUUUUCCAUGGGGGCUCCAGCCCCAAGCACCCACAUAGUCGGUGCCAAUGCUCAUCAACACUCUUGAUUACUGCAACAUCCUUUUCUCUGGACUUGACAAAUGCAAUCUUGGCCUACUUCUACCCACUCAGAAAAGCUGCUGCAAACAUAUCACCUCUCUUUGCAUUCCUCCACUGGAUCCACUUCUCUAUCUUAGCAAAUAAAACUGAUCGCUUUCAUUUUCAGGGCCCUUUAUAGUCAAUCUCCACCCUAUCUAUAUCCUCUCUCACUAUUGAGAUGUUGACUAUUGCCUCUGAUCAACCCAUGCUGCCAACCUGCAUCACCCACUUGUAAAAUUUUCAAAUAAGCAUCUUCAUGCUUUCUUCCAUGCUGCCCCUCAUACUUGGGAAGAGCUCCCUGUAAACAUCCACAAAGUUAUCUCAUUGUCCACCUUAAAACUCUCAUUUGCAGUGAUGCCUACAAAACAAAACUCAAUCAUUUGGUUUUGUUGUGCUGGUACCACUGCCAAUGAUGCAGACAAGAAUUGUCUCAUUGUUUCUUUGUUACCUCCCCCCCCCCCACUCGCACCUAUCUCUCUGUAUCCAUCUGUUUUCCCAUGUUUUAUACUUCGCUUGUAAACAUCUUGGGGCAGAGACUAUCUUUUUUGUUAGUACAGCACCUAACACAAUGGGCUGCUGGUCCAUGACUGAGGCACUAUGGGUAGGAAACACUUGGGUGCCCACACCCCAGACUUAGGCACCAGACUAAGCUUCAGAGUAAUUCAUGAAUCAGGGGAAAAUAGGUGAGAAAAUGCCUAUUUCAUAUAUGUGGGGCCUGAUUCAGUUGGCAGCCUCUAAGCAUGCCACUGGAUUGGAUCCCAUCCAAAAUGGAGGAGGCAGUGCCAACCUUAUAACUUUUUAAGCCCAGUGGUCACCUGGGAUGUGGGAGAUUGAGGUUCAAUUUCCCACCUCUGCCUGAUGGGGAGAAGGGAGGUACCUUAUUCAAAUCCUACCUCACAGGAGGCUGCUCUAACCCCUCGCCUAUGGGAUAUUCUGUUAUCAGUCUCUCCUGUUGAAACCAUUCCACUGUGGAUUAAAUAAUUAGUCAUUGGGCCAGAGAGAGAGGGCAAGUGAGAAAACUCUUACAGGCUGAUGGUUAGGGCACUGGCGGGGGGAGCGGGGGGAGACCCAGGGUCCAGUCCGUCUGCUCCAAUGAGUCUUUAGUUAAGUUCCUUUGUGAAUCCCUAAGGUAAUAUUAGUAAUGCUACUAAUUUUGUCUUAAAUGGAAGUUCUGUAUGUCCAGUUAUAUAGGUUGAGUGUUUGUCUCACAAUAGUACAUAGGCUUGUCCCUAUGCCAGCUGUUAAGUAUUAUUGUUCAGGUGUUAAUGGUGCUGCAGUUCAAAUGAGAUAUUUAAGCCAAGAUCAGAGCCUGCUGUGAAGUAUUUGGCAUUUUUUGGAAAGGAUAGGCAAUGACAUGAGUGUUCUGGCCAACAUCCCCAUAUAUAUUAUGACCCAUCCUUAUGUUUAACCCUGUACAUGUUUUCUCCUUUUGCACAAGGGCUAAAUGGAACUUGAAUGUAAACUUAUGAAACAAAAAGCAAUGAAAAUCUCACAAAUGCACACACAGAAAAUACAGCUUAAAUAUUGCAUCUUCAUAAUACCUUAGCCAUGAAAAAUAUUUUUAGUUAUAUCUCUCUAACUGCACUGUGUGAUUGCUUUAUUCCUGGGAGAUUUCUGCACUACUGCAUGUGCAUAAUUAAUUAGCUGUGCAUAUUUUUAAAUUUUUGUGCAUAAAAAAGCUUCUGCUGAAAUGUUGCUGCAGUUCUCCCUUCUGCCCCCCAGAGGGUGCUGUGACAGAAGCACAGCAGAAGCUCCCAGCAGAAAACAACUUCUGCAGUUCUUCCUUUUUCCCACCAGAGGGCACUGUGACAAUAGAACACAGCAGCAGCUCCCGGCCAGCAAGGGAAGAGAAAGACCCUGCCUUCUUUGUCAGGCCAGGUUAGGAGACAGGGGCUAUGGGGAGACAGACAGCAUGGGGUGCUGUGGGGUCAGAGAGGGGCUUAUAAGAGCUAGUGGGGUAGGACAGACUGGGGAAGGGGCUGAACGGGAGUGGAGGCACAGGGCCACAGAGGGGAGGGAGGUGCUGGGCCACAUGGGGAUGGGAGGAGGGGGUACAGGGACACAUAUGGACAGGGGAGUGGCUGGAUGGGGGCACAGAGCCACAUGGGGAUUGAGGAGGGGGUACAGAGCCACAUGGGGACAGGGAAAGGGGUGAAGGGCCACAUGGGGAUGGCGGAAGUGGGUGUCUGAAUGGGAGUGGAGGGACAUAUGUGAACAGAGGCAGAUGUUCCUGAUUGAAUGGGAGAGACUAGGAGUCAGCCAGGGUCUGCAUGGGGAAAGCACCCUAACAAUCCCUCCCCGC